rnacentral:rRNA from 1 species
GGGGUAGAGCACUGUUAUGGCUAGGGGGUCAUCGCGACUUACCAAACCAUUGCAAACUCCGAAUACCGAGACGGACUGUAUGGGAGACACACGGCGGGUGCUAACGUCCGUCGUGAAAAGGGAAACAACCCAGACCCACAGCUAAGGUCCCAAAUUUUGUGCUAAGUGGAAAACCAUGUGGAAAGGCACAGACAGCCAGGAGGUUGGCUUAGAAGCAGCCACCCUUUAAAGAAAGCGUAAUAGCUCACUGGUCGAGUCGGUCUGCGGGGAAGAUUUAACGGGGCUAAGCACAGAACCGAAGCUUGGGGUGCAUAACUUUGUUAUGCGCGGUAGAGGAGCGUUCCGUAAGCCGUUGAAGGUGGAUUGAGAAGUCUGCUGGAGGUAUCGGAAGUGCGAAUGCUGACAUGAGUAACGAUAAUGCGGGUGAAAAACCCGCACGCCGAAAGCCCAAGGUUUCCUUGCGCAACGUUAAUCGGCGCAGGGUGAGUCGGCCCCUAAGGCGAGGACGAAAGUCGUAGUCGAUGGGAAGCAGGUUAAUAUUCCUGCACCUCGCGUAAGUGCGAUGGAGGGACGGAGAAGGUUAGGUGUACCAGGCGUUGGUUGUCCUGGGGAAAGGCGGUAGGUUUGGAUCUUUGGCAAAUCCGGGAUCCUCUAAGACCGAGCACCGAGACGAGCCUUUAUGGCAAAGUCACUGAUACCACGCUUCCAGGAAAAGCUCCUAAGCUUCAGCUUACGCAGACCGUACCGUAAACCGACACAGGUGGGUAGGAUGAGAAUUCUCAGGCGCUUGAGAGAACUCGGGUGAAGGAACUAGGCAACAUGGCACCGUAACUUCGGGAGAAGGUGCACCCUUUUUGGUGGCUCGUGCGAGCUAUAGCUGAAGAGGGUCGCAGUAACCAGGCCGCUGCGACUGUUUAUCAAAAACACAGCACUCUGCAAACACGAAAGUGGACGUAUAGGGUGUGACGCCUGCCCGGUGCUGGAAGGUUAAUUGAUGGGGUCAGCCGCAAGGCGAAGCUCUUGAUCGAAGCCCCAGUAAACGGCGGCCGUAACUAUAACGGUCCUAAGGUAGCGAAAUUCCUUGUCGGGUAAGUUCCGACCUGCACGAAUGGCGUAACGACAGCGGCGCUGUCUCCACCCGAGACUCAGUGAAAUUGAAAUCGCUGUGAAGAUGCAGCGUUCCCGUGGCAAGACGGAAAGACCCCGUGAACCUUUACUAUAGCUUUACACUGAACGUUGAGUUCGUCUGUGUAGGAUAGGUGGGAGGCUAUGAAACCAUGGCGCUAGCUGUGG